GACGAACGCUGGCGGCGUGCCUAAUACAUGCAAGUAGAACGCUGAAGGAGGAGCUUGCUUCUCUGGAUGAGUUGCGAACGGGUGAGUAACGCGUAGGUAACCUGCCUGGUAGCGGGGGUUAACUAUUGGAAACGAUAGCUAAUACCGCAUAAGAGUAGAUGUUGCAUGACAUUUGCUUAAAAGGUGCAAUUGCAUCACUACCAGAUGGACCUGCGUUGUAUUAGCUAGUUGGUGGGGUAACGGCUUACCAAGGCGACGAUACAUAGCCGACCUGAGAGGGUGAUCGGCCACACUGGGACUGAGACACGGCCCAGACUCCUACGGGAGGCAGCAGUAGGGAAUCUUCGGCAAUGGACGGAAGUCUGACCGAGCAACGCCGCGUGAGUGAAGAAGGUUUUCGGAUCGUAAAGCUCUGUUGUAAGAGAAGAACGAGUGUGAGAGUGGAAAGUUCACACUGUGACGGUAUCUUACCAGAAAGGGACGGCUAACUACGUG
rnacentral:rRNA from 1 species